rnacentral:lncRNA from 1 species
GAAACAUAGAGAGAGAUGCAGUAAAAAGAAAGAAAGAAGAGAACAGUGUGAAAAGGGAGAAAACUGAGAGAAAGAGGAAAGAUUGAAACGCUUGAUUGAGGUAUGAGUUUAUAUUUUAGAGAGAAAUUCAGAUAUUUUGUGUUGUUUUAUUCAAGACCGGCACUGAGUUAUUCGAGGUCGAAAGUGAAUUUUGAAGGCUGAGCCCCCGCCGCCCUCUAUAGAUUUUAUUCGAACAAAAAUUUAAAAAAAAUAGAUUAUCAUAAAAAAAACAUAAUUACAAGAAUUUAAAAUAUUAAAAUGCAAAAAUUAUUUGUCAUUUUUUAAACUCGUACGUGUGGUGCCUUAAGUCACAAAUUCGAGGAGCGGGAG